CCUACGGGGUGGCAGCAGUGGGGAAUAUUGGACAAUGGGCGAAAGCCUGAUCCAGCCAUGCCGCGUGUGUGAAGAAGGCCUUCGGGUUGUAAAGCACUUUCAGUGGGGAAGAAAGCCUUGGGGCUAAUACCCUCGAGGAAGGACAUCACCCACAGAAGAAGCACCGGCUAACUCCGUGCCAGCAGCCGCGGUAAUACGGAGGGUGCGAGCGUUAAUCGGAAUUACUGGGCGUAAAGCGCGCGUAGGCGGUCUGAUAAGCCGGUUGUGAAAGCCCCGGGCUCAACCUGGGAACGGCAUCCGGAACUGUCAGGCUAGAGUGCAGGAGAGGAAGGUAGAAUUCCCGGUGUAGCGGUGAAAUGCGUAGAGAUCGGGAGGAAUACCAGUGGCGAAGGCGGCCUUCUGGACUGACACUGACGCUGAGGUGCGAAAGCGUGGGUAGCAAACAGGAUUAGAUACCCGUGUAGUC
rnacentral:rRNA from 1 species